rnacentral:rRNA from 1 species
CAGCGCAUCUUCCUCCGACUCCAAAGCAAAGCCGAUUCGCGAGCCAAACCCUAACCCUACCUCACCGCUCCCAUGGCCGGAGACCCCUCGCCGCCCGGAUCCCCCGGCAAGCCCCGCCGCCGCCGGGAGCGCGACGACGCCGACCCCGCCCCCGACGCCGACGCCGACGCCGACGCCUCCCCGAAGCGCCGCAGGCACCACCACCACCGCCACCACCGCUCCCACCGCCACCGCCGCCCGGACGACGCCCAGCCCCCUCCGCCGCCCUCAGCGGCCGCCGACGGAGAAGACGUCGAGGAAGGGGAGAUACUAGACGAUGCCGCCGCCGGCGCCAUGGAAGUCGACCCCGCAUCUCCGCGAGCCGACCCGGAGCUAGCCGGCGAUCAUGCUGCCACCAACUCUGCCGUUGAGCCUAGCCGUUGUUCUUCACCCUCAAAAGAUGAAGGCAGGUUGAAUCACACAGCUCGUGGCUCUGAAAGCGGAGGCGUCUUUUCAGGCGACGAGGAUAAUAAUAAUGGUGAAGGACACGGACAGAGUCACAGGGCGUCAAGGUCUCCACGGCCGACAAAGGACAGGGGAAGGAAUCACAAGGACGAGCGUCAAACUCUGUCCUCUAAUAAAGAUUCUCAUCAGAGAGAUCACACCACCAACAGAUCUCCUCCCUCCAGGAACCACGCUCAAGAGGUUCAUUCUAGGAAUCACCCGAGGUCCGGAGAAGCUGAUGCCAAAGCUAAUGGUUCGCGGGCAAGUCCAAGGGCUGACCCUGAUCGUGACAACGACGACAGGAAUGGCUUUGGUAGGCAUGCAACUAGGACACGGGAGGACGAGAGAGAAAGGAGCAGCAGUCGUGUUGUUCGUGACGGACAUAGUGAUAGGCGUGAUAGCCGGGAAAGAUAUAGGGAUGAAACAAGGCACAGCAGCAUAGAUAGAGACAAUGUUGAUCGUAGGCACAGAGAAAGGAGCAGCAGUCAUAGUAGACCUGACAGAAGGGAGAGCGCACGCCACACUCGUGAAGAAAGCAGGGAGAGGGAAAGGCAAAGUGGCAGCUCAAGGCAUAAAGACCAUCAUAAAAGGGAUACAAGCAAGGAUCGUUAUAAAGAUUAUGUCACGGUUGCUACUGGACAUGAAAGGGAUAAAGUGAGAGAUGAUAGAGACAGGGGGCGGCACAGGGAUAGAGAAAGUGAAACUCGUAGAAGUGGAGCUGGAGAAGAACGCAAGGACAGAGUUAGCACUAGUGAUAGGCACAAGGACUCUACACGCUCGAAAUAUAGCACGUCCGAUGCUCAUAAAGACAGGUCAAGAUCUGGGGAGAAAGGCAGAGAUGUAGACAGCAGAAGCGAUCGAUCUAGAGAAAUGAAGGAAAAUUCUUUCAAGGAGGAAGAUGAGGAAGAGUAUCAAGAGAAAAUUGAGCAACAGUUAGCAAUGCAGGAAGAAGAUGACCCUGAAAAAAUUAAGGAGGAAGCGAGGAGGAGGAAAGAAGCUAUUAUGGCGAAAUAUAGGCAGCAACAAGCGCAGAAGCAGCAACCGGAAUCUUUACCUAGAAGCAAUGAUGAAGAAGCAAGAGCAGUGGAUAAAGAUGAGACUGUAGAUAUGAAAGGUGAUAAUGAUAGCAAUUCCACGGACAACGAGGAAGCUGAAAAUAAGCAGGAUUCUUCAGAUGCUUUUGUUGGUGAGGCAGACUUCAGUGUGGGCAAGUCCCCUGCUCAUGAUGCUGUUUUAGCCUGUGCUGAAGCAUUGGGCAAUGAGGGGACAACUGGUGUUUCAGGCCUUGGAGAGGGUACUCCAAAGAGUGAGAGAUCGGCAGAUAUGUUUUGUGAUGACAUAUUUGGAGAGUCACCUGCAGGAUUUCGGAAAUUGGGCAAGGGAGACGGCUUGUGUAUUGAGAAAAAUGCUCUGCAUGAUAAUUGGGAUGAUCCUGAGGGUUACUAUACUCAUCGAUUUGGGGAAUUGUUGGAUGGCCGUUAUGAAAUUACAGCUGCGCAUGGGAAGGGGGUGUUCUCAACAGUCGUGCGGGCAAAGGAUCUUAAAGCUGGGAAAGAUGAUCCUGAUGUAGUGGCUAUUAAAAUUAUUCGCAAGAAUGAGACAAUGUAUAAGGCCGGUAAGCAAGAGGUUUCAAUAUUAGAAAAACUGGCAAGCGCGGAUCGUGAGGACAGGCGCCACUGCGUGCGGUUCAUUUCUAGUUUCAUGUACCGGAACCAUCUUUGCUUAGUUUUUGAAUCUUUAAAUAUGAAUCUCCGUGAGGUACUAAAGAAAUUUGGUCGCAAUAUUGGGCUUAAACUGACUGCUGUGAGGGCAUAUUCAAAGCAGCUUUUCAUCGCCCUGAAGCACCUGAAAAACUGCAAAGUUCUGCACUGUGAUAUAAAGCCAGACAAUAUGCUGGUGAAUGAUGCUAAGAAUGUCCUGAAGCUAUGCGAUUUUGGCAAUGCUAUGCUUGCUGGAAUGAAUGAGGUCACCCCUUAUCUUGUCAGCCGUUUCUAUCGGGCACCUGAGAUCAUUCUCGGGUUGCCCUAUGAUCACCCAUUGGACAUCUGGUCAGUUGGCUGCUGCCUAUAUGAACUUUCUACUGGAAAGGUUCUGUUUCCAGGUGCAACGAAUAACGAUAUGCUUCGUCUUCAUAUGGAACUGAAGGGCCCCUUCCCUAAGAAGAUGCUCCGAAAGGGUGCUUUCACGAUGCAACACUUUGACCAAGAUCUCAAUUUUAAUGCUAUUGAGGAAGAUCCUGUGACCAAAAAGCCUAUGAGGAAGUUGAUUCUAAACAUCAAACCGAAGGAUUUUGGUUCUUUGGUUUCAAAUUUUCCUGGCGAGGACCCAAAAAUGCUCUCCAAUUUUAAAGACCUUCUUGAAAAAAUAUUUGUCUUAGAUCCAGAUAAGAGGAUAACCGUAUCACAGGCACUUAGCCAUCCAUUUAUCACUGGCAAGUGAAAAUAAGAUGUUGAUUCCUCUUGACAUUGUAAACUACAAUUUGGGUUCCUCUUGUCUAAUCAUCGGCAUUUCUAUCUUGUGUCUGGGAGCUAUGAGAUCUGAGUGCGUGCCCAAAUGGACGAAGCAUGGGGUUGCUGAAGAGAUGCUGUCUUACGGACCUUGCUGCAUGCACUUACCAUUUGGAUAGUUCUGUUGCUUGGUUUCUGCCAGGGCCUCUGCUGCAUGCACUUAUAUUUCCUAAAGGACCAACAAAAGAAGGAUGAUUAGUGAAUGGGGGAAUAGUUGCGUGUGAAGUGAUCAAAAUACAAACAAAUGUAGCUUGUCAUUUCCUUUUCCAUGGGACCGUUGAAGUUAUGGAUCUUUUUUGAGAAUUUGAUGUAGACUGAAAGUCCACACUGCUAUCUACUUCUGAUAUUCUGUACGAAUGGGCUUGUGAUGUUCAUCUUUCCUCUAUUAGUUGUGCUUGCUUUACGGAAAGGGUUCUAAGAAAGUCUUUUCUUGUUAUGCACCACUAUCACUCCAUGUGGAAUAUCAGUCAAAAGUUUUUAUUUUGCUUUUAUGUUUGUUGAGGUCCAGGGAUGGAGAUUCCUGGAUGCACUGGGUAUACACCUUGUCUUGGUAACCUCUGUCAACUAGCUGGAUGUGUCAAUGUUUCGUCAUUAAGAGUCCUUUUCAUACAAACGUUUUCUGUGUAUAGGUCUAGAUGUUAUUUUGAUCCCUUACAGUUUAACGAACUUAGAAUUCAUUGUAAGCCAUGCUUCUAUGUAGAUCCGCUACAGUUUUUUUGUUAAAAAGAUGGCAAGUUUUUAUGGAGAAACUAAAACGUUAUUUUGUAUUACAACUCCUGUAGCAUUUGGCACUAUCCUGCAGUGAGAAAUCUUAGUCGUAUGUAGCAAAUAAUCUGCAUGUGUCCAAAAACUUAGCACAAGUAUAUAUAUGCAUGUAGCAUGGUGGAAGUAGGACUGAAUGCUAGUUUAUUAACUGAGGCAAAGCAUCGUCCCUUGUCAGUUGCUUCCUCCAUCAAAGUUUUAAGGCCACUUAGUCUGGUUAAGUCAAAACUGUUCUAAAUUCGAGCUAGUUUGUAGAAGAAAAUAUCAACAUGUAUACAAUACCCAAUAAAUACAUUAUUACGAAGACCUAUUUCAUGACUGAUCUGGUGUUCUUUUUUCUACAAAUUUGGUCAAACGAAGUGGCCUUUUAUAUGCAUAGGUAAGAGGGAGUAAGAGAAGGCAAAGGCAAAUGGCUAGCUGUACUUGUCCCAUGUUGAUAGGUUCACGUGGGCUUUUGCUAAUUUUAUUACCUGAAACCUGGCAGUUUAUCCUGAAGCUCAUGCUUUUAGUUCCGUCCAGUUGGAUGCAAGCCAUUUUCAUUUUUGACCUGAUCAUACAUGCUACAUGCGUAUGUAUGCAUCAUGAAACAUUGGCAUUCAUCUAGAUGAUCAAGCGCCUCGAUGGAUAUAGCCUUUUGUCUUGGAUGAGUGUGUAAUUGCCUGGUUUCCUUUCACCCGUGUCAGAAAACUUGACCUUGGACUUGAGAAAUUAGUAUUGCUGUUCUUUUAGACUUUGUGUCUCACUUUUUAAAUCAUACUUUGCCUUCUCUUAUUUCUUUGUUCAUGUUUUGAGUGUCCACUGACAUUUUGAACCAUGUAAAACUAUAACAUGAAUAAAUAUAUUUCCGUCGUAGUUAAGCUAUUACAUUCAUCUGAUUAUUAUACUUCCUCUGUUCCGUAAUUCUUUCGUGGUUUUUAGUUAGAAAAAUGAACUAAAACCACCGACAAACCAUGACAAAAAUGAUUAUAUAUAUAUAUAUAUAUACAUAUACAUAUAUAUAUGCAUGUCCUGCUAACAAUAUUGUGGCUGUGUGUGUUUCUGGGUAAAAGGUUGUUUUAAAUCUGAAGGAAUUGCUUGUAGGCUAGGUUAUUGACAAGUUACUCCCUCUUUAAACAAAUGCAAGACGUUUUCGGUCACUACUUUAUAGUGUUAUAAAAUGUCUUACAUUUGUUUACAGCGGGAGUACCAUAUGUAGGAUGAAAAAGAAAUUCAAGGAAUUUACAAUUCAUGUGUUAUUGUUACUCAAAAGUGAGAUUGCAUUACAUAAUGUGCUAACAGCUGUAGUGAUGCUGAUCCGAUGGACAAGGACUGUCCGUUCGUAGUUUUUGUCCUUUGAACCUUUUUUUCAGGGCAAGGUUAGUUGGUUGCAUGGGUGACAGAAAGUGAGAGUUCUCAGCAGCAUCCUUGGUAUCCAUCUUGAUUCAUCUGGUUUGUCGCUGAUAUAUCUACUAUUCCAAGUGCAGUGCAGGGGGAGAUGAGAUUUUGUGAUUUUGCUUGGUAUGGAUGCAUGUAUGAUGGCUAAUUUCAGUUGUCUUGGGAUUAGAAUGCGAUAAAUAAUCUGCAAUUUCAUUGGUCAUCAUGAUUUAAUGAUGCUAAAUUUCCCCAACCUUGGGAUUUUUAUGCGCAGCAAGGAC